ensembl:scaRNA
UGGAAGUGAUGAAAUAGAGAUAAUUGGAUGUCUCUCUGAAUGGAGUGUGUAUGGUAAAUAUAAUUUGAAUUGAAUCAGACUUUUUGGGGGGAGGGGGAAGCGCGCACGUGUGUGUGUAUGUGGGGUAUAUAAAAGGCUGUAAACUGGGGGCACUGAUAAUGAAGUGCUGAUUCCGGAGUGCAUCUGAGGCAUGUUGUUAAAUUCUGGGGUGUUGCUUUUCAACAUUGCCGAUGAUUAGAGCCCAAAACAAGCUCACCAGACAAGCCUAGGCAUCUUAAAAAUCUCUAACAGGUUCAUUAAUGAAAAUGAUCCUGUGAUCUGAUCCAA